rnacentral:rRNA from 1 species
CCUACGGGUGGCAGCAGUGAGGAAUAUUGGUCAAUGGGCGCGAGCCUGAACCAGCCAAGUCGCGUGAGGGAAGACGGUCCUAUGGAUUGUAAACCUCUUUUGUCGGGGAGCAAAAGACGCCACGCGUGGCGUUCCGAGAGUACCCGAAGAAAAAGCAUCGGCUAACUCCGUGCCAGCAGCCGCGGUAAUACGGAGGAUGCGAGCGUUAUCCGGAUUUAUUGGGUUUAAAGGGUGCGCAGGCGGAGGAUCAAGUCAGCGGUAAAAUUGAGGGGCUCAACCUCUUCGAGCCGUUGAAACUGGUUUGCUUGAGUGAGUGAGAGGUAUGCGGAAUGCGUGGUGUAGCGGUGAAAUGCAUAGAGAUCACGCAGAACUCCGAUUGCGAAGGCAGCAUACCGGCGCUCAACUGACGCUCAUGCACGAAAGUGUGGGUAUCGAACAGGAUUAGAUACCCGGGUAGUC